CAACUUUUAACGGUGGAUCUCUUGGCUCGUGCAUCGAUGAAGAACGCAGCCAGGUGCGAUAAGUAGUGCGAAUUGCAGAAUUCAGUGAAUCAUCGAAUCUUUGAACGCAAAUGGCGCUCCUUGGCUCUCCAGGGAGCAUGUCUGUCUGAGGGUCGAUU
rnacentral:rRNA from 1 species